rnacentral:misc_RNA from 1 species
AAAUGCGAUAAGUAAUGUGAAUUGCAGAAUUCAGUGAAUCAUCGAAUCUUUGAACGCACAUUGCGCCCGCCAGUACUCUGGCGGGCAUGCCUGUUCGAGCGUCAUUUCAACCAUCAAGCCCCCGGCUUGUGUUGGGGACCUGCGGCUGCCCGCAGGCCCUGAAAAACAGUGGCGGGCUCGCUGUCACACCGAGCGUAGUAGCAUACAUUCUCGCUCAGGGCGUGCUGCGGGUUCCGGCCGUUAAACGACCUUCAUAACCCAAGGUUGACCUCGGAUCAGGUAGGAAGACCCGCUGAACUUAAGC